AAUCACUUGUCCUUUAAAUGGGGACNUGUAUGAAUGGCACAACGAGGGCUUAGCUGUCUCCCCUGUCCGGUCAAUGAAAUUGAUCUCCCCGUGCAGAAGCGGGGCUAACACCAUAAGACGAGAAGACCCUAUGGAGCUUUAGACACACGAUCGGCCCGUACAAAAACCUUGAAUUCACUCGAGGCCUACCCACGGCGGCACCCGCUUCACGUCUUUGGUUGGGGCGACCGUGGGGUAAAGAAAAACCCCCAUGAAGGCCGGAGGACACCCCCCUCCCAAGCCAAGAGUGACUCCUCUAAGCAUCAGAACAUCUGACUUGAAUGAUCCGGCAUAACGGCCGAUCAACGANCCGAGNUACCCUAGGGAUAACAGCGCAAUCCCCUCCNAGAGCCC
rnacentral:rRNA from 1 species